rnacentral:rRNA from 1 species
UACGAAGGGGGCUAGCGUUGCUCGGAAUUACUGGGCGUAAAGCGCACGUAGGCGGAUCUUUAAGUCAGGGGUGAAAUCCUGGAGCUCAACUCCAGAACUGCCUUUGAUACUGAGGGUCUUGAGUUCGGGAGAGGUGAGUGGAACUGCGAGUGUAGAGGUGAAAUUCGUAGAUAUUCGCAAGAACACCAGUGGCGAAGGCGGCCAACUGGUCCGGGUACUGACGCUGAGGUGCGAAAGCGUGGGGAGCAAACAGGG